GUCAAGUAAGCAGAGAUGGACAGGGGCUUACUUACAGAUACUGGCAGAACAUCUCUUCCUACUAAAGUUCAUGCUGAACUUGUAGAUGUCUUAACAGAGGCUGUAGUGGACUCCAUUUGCCCAUUAAAAAUAAGAUGAAGACCUAUUGAUCUCUUCAUAGAUUCGAGAUCAUGGAGAUGAAACAUAAAUCUGAAACUGAUACAGAAGCUUAAUCAGAGGGCUUGUUUUGGACCACGAGACACAGCAUCCUCAUAUGAAGAAAAGGGUGGAAGAUGAAUACGUCCUCACCUGUAACAUAUAUUCUAAUUAUGAAACAGAAGUGAAUUAUGGCUCUUUUUUUUACAAAAGUGCAGAAGAGAGAGAAAAACUCAAGAAAGCUUAAAGAAAAUUCAUUGAAGAUAGAGUUAAAAAAAAAAAGAACUGAAAAGGAAGUCUGUGGUGAUUCCAGAUAAAGGAUUUGUUAUUAUUAAAUAAAGGAGAUUGACCUCUUUUCCUUAGAUACUCUUUCAAAAAGAAGGCAUAGAGAUGGCAUACUUGCUCUGUGUAGAGCUAAAAGGAGAAAUAUGGAGAGGCUGACUCUUGCUUGUGGUGGGGUAGCCCUGAAUUAUUUUGACAACCUAAGUCCUGGCUGCUUGGGACAUGCAGGACUUGUAUAUAAGUAUACAUUGGAAGAAGAGAAGUUCGCCUUUAUUGAGAAAUGUAACAACCCUCGUUCUGUCACUUUAUUGAUCAAAGGACCAAAUAAGCACACACUCACUCAGAUCAAAGACGCAGUGAGGGAUGGCUUGAGGGCUGUCAAAAAUGCUAUUGAUGAUGGCUGUGUGGUUGCAGGUGCUGGUGCUGUGGAAGUGGCUAUGGCAGAAGCCCUGAUUAAAUAUAAGCCCAGUGUAAAUGGCAGGGCACAGCUUGGAGUCCAAGCAUUUGCUGAUGCGUUGCUCAUUAUUCCCAAGUUUCUUGCUCAGAACUCUCGUUUUGACCUUCAGGAAACAUUAGCUAAAAUUCAAGCAGAACAUUCAGAAUCAGGUCAGCUUGUGGGUGUGGACCUGAACACAGGUGAGCCAAUAGUAGCAGCAGAAGUAUGCGUAUGGGAUAACUAUUUUGUAAAGAAGCAGCUUCUUCACUCCUGCACUGUGAUCGCCACCAACAUUCUCUUGGUUGAUGAGAUCAUGAGAGCUGGAAUGUCUUCUCUGAAAGGUUGAAUUGAAGCUUCCUCUGUAUCUGAGUCUUGAAGACUCUGCAAAGUGAUCCUGAGGAAUACAGCUGUGGAAUUCUUGUCCAAGCUUCAAAUGGAUUUUUACCAUAUGAAAAAGGAGAGAACGCUGGCAUCUGUUGAAAUUUGGAAGUUCUGAAAUUACAGUGUUUUUUAAAAUUGCACUGAAGCGUAUACACAUAAAGCAGGUCUUUUACCCAGUGAACAGGAUAUUUUGCCUUAGCAGUAGUGACAUAAAAUUCCAUGUUAGAUA